rnacentral:misc_RNA from 1 species
GGCAAGUGGAGGAUGGCAAUUAAGGCUAUCCCUCUGCGAGAAAACAACCAAGCGCCGAGCCAGUUGGUUGCAUGAUGAAGAGAGACCUGCAAAACCAAGAAAAGACUCAGGAUCAGCGCUAUCAUUUGACCUGAACGAAGCUGCUGAUGCUGAGGAUGAUAAAGCUGAUGGCUCUCGCAAUUCAAGUGAUCUUACAAUUGAUCACGAGGAUGAACAUGUCCCCAACAACAGAUUACUAACUCCAACAGCUUCAUCAGUGUCUCCAGAGCUACUCAAUUCAGUAGACGACGAUAUUGUUUUCAAACCUGUGGACUUUGGCCUCAUUCGUUGCGAGGUUUCUAAUUCUAUAACCAAGAGGUUCUCCACCAUUAUCAGUGAUAGAGUCUCAUUUGAAAUUCAAGACCAGGCGCUUGAAAAGAUUGCUGGUGGGUUAUGGUUAAGCAAAGCAAGUUUAGAAGAAUGGACUGAGAAAGUAUUGGUUCCAAGCAUGCGCCAGCUCAAGCUACAGUUACCAACAUCCACUGAGGAAUCAUCCAUGGUUGUUUGGCUCGAACCCGACAGCGAUUCAGCCAGCCGAAGCCACACAGAUUGGCUGCCGAGCAGCGUCAGAGUAGUGGUUGGUGGGUUGUGAGCGUGGUGGGAGGGCACUCAUUUCUGUUUAAUAUAUAGAGAUGUAAAUAUUCUCCAACUGUUUUUGGCGGGUUGGUUGAAAGCGGUUGACAAGGGUAAAGAAGGAAAAUGGAUUAAAAAAAGAAAAACAGUCAGAGUAGAGGGAGACGUUGAUUGAUUAACGGAAACUUUAGACGGCAAGGUCUCGCCUUUUCUUUUUACUAUUAUUAUUAUUUUAUUACUUUGUUACAUGCCCCG